CGGGGUGUGGCGCAGCUUGGUAGCGCGCUUCGUUCGGGACGAAGAGGUCGUGGGUUCAAAUCCCGCCACCCCGACCA
rnacentral:tRNA from 29 species